ACGUGUAAUCUGUAUGUAUACAGAGGAAGAUAUUGACAUGUAUAUAUCAUGUAUGAUAAGCAUAGCCUCACCCAUAAGAUUUUAAAUGUAUUGAUAGUUUAUAAAUAUUUAUAUUGGAAUUUGUCCAUUACCCCUUACUAAAAUAAUUAUGAAUCAUGUAAUCAUGUAUAUACAUUUAAUUUUUUUUUUUUUUUUUUUACGAUGAGCAUAGGCACACAUAUUAAAGAAAAUUGAAAACGUACAAGAAAGUGUGGUGAUCUAAUAAAUUCAAUGUUUCAGGUGAGCGACAUGAACCCAAUGUCAUCACUGCAUGAAGAGCAAGAGCCAAUAAGGUGAGCUGGAUGAACCCAAUGCCAUUACUGCAUGGAGAUCAAAGGCCAACAAGGUGAGCGGAAUGAACCCAAUGUCAUCACUGCAUGGAGAGCAAGAGCCAACAAGGUAAUGUUUAAAUAAAUGUUACAGUAAGAGACACUGUGGAUAUAGCAAGAGAUGAAGGAAAAGGAAUGCUUUUUUAUGU
rnacentral:lncRNA from 1 species